GAUGAACGCUGGCGGCGUGCUUAACACAUGCAAGUCGAACGGAAAGGCUCCUGCUUGCAGGGGUACUCGAGUGGCGAACGGGUGAGUAACACGUGGGUGAUCUGCCCUGCACUUCGGGAGAAGCCUGGGAAACUGGGGCUAAUACCGGAGAGGACCACAUGUUGGAUGGUGUGGUGGAAAGUUUGUCGGUGUGGGAUGAGCUCGCGGCCUAUCAGCUUGUUGGUGGGGUAAUGGCCUACCAAGGCGCCGACGGGUAGCCGGCCUGAGAGGGUGUACGGCCACAUUGGGACUGAGGGACGGCACCGACUCCUAAGGGAGGCAGCAGUGGGGAAGACUGCACAAUGGGCGCAAGCCUGAUGAAGCGGCGCCGCGGGGGGGAUGACGGUCUUCUGGUUGUAGACUACUUGCGCUAGGGACGAAGCGCGAGUGACGGUACCUGGAGAAGAAGCACCGGCUAACUACGUG
rnacentral:rRNA from 1 species